rnacentral:lncRNA from 1 species
GUUUUUUUUGUGAUCAUAACUUUCAUCAAAGCCAUCAGCAAUAAACAAAAAGUGAGGUGGCUUAAAAUCACAUGUUAUAAACACUGAAAAUAGCUUUAUAAAUAGUGUAGACACUAGUCUAUUGUUAAAGACAAUAUAUUGACCGCCAGAUGUCUGGUCUUUCUGUGUCAUUGGGUUGCUGUCCCAUUGUAUACUCCUUUUCUUCUUUGGCUUAUGAUAUGGGUUUAACAUUUCAGAAUCUUGAU